GAUGAACGCUGGCGGCGUGCCUAAUACAUGCAAGUCGAGCGAACGGACGAGAAGCUUGCUUCUCUGAUGUUAGCGGCGGACGGGUGAGUAACACUUGGAUAACCUACCUAUAAGACUGGGAUAACUUCGGGAAACCGGAGCUAAUACCGGAUAAUAUUUUGAACCGCAUGGUUCAAAAGUGAAAGACGGUCUUGCUGUCACUUAUAGAUGGAUCCGCGCUGCAUUAGCUAGUUGGUAAGGUAACGGCUUACCAAGGCAACGAUGCAUAGCCGACCUGAGAGGGUGAUCGGCCACACUGGAACUGAGACACGGUCCAGACUCCUACGGGAGGCAGCAGUAGGGAAUCUUCCGCAAUGGGCGAAAGCCUGACGGAGCAACGCCGCGUGAGUGAUGAAGGUCUUCGGAUCGUAAAACUCUGUUAUUAGGGAAGAACAUAUGUGUAAGUAACUGUGCACAUCGUGACGGUACCUAAUCAGAAAGCCACGGCUAACUACGUG
rnacentral:rRNA from 1 species